GUUGGGGUGAGGACAUGUAUGUGAGUAUAUGGAUCUGUGUGUUGGUGUCAGGUCAGACCUGGGCAUCUCUCUGCACGGUGAAAGGGUCCAUUCCUUCCUGGUAGAACAGCUGGUGGAAAUGCUGCAGGAAAAACACACAAGAACCACAUUUUUGGGAUGAUGCCCUUCCAUUCGCAAGCCUUCAAAGAGAGUCUCAAAGUGUUUUAGUUUUAUGGUGUUAACAAACGGAAUCUCACCAGACAGGAGCCUCAAAGGGAGAGCGGGUUCAGCAGACCACCACACAACAAAGAACUUUGAAGAACAUUUUAAAACUCAAAAAAUGAUCACAUGAGGAGAAACUGGACAAUGAAGCUGACUCUACCUGGUUUCCAGACUGCUCACAGAAGCGUGUGAAGUAGAGGCCGGCGUGAAGCUCCACACAGAGAGCCUGCAGCAUCUCCGAGCGUCCUCUCCGGCGCUGCAGCUGAUUCCUGCUAGAUGACUGGCAAAGAUAUUGAAAUGAUGUGAGAUUCCAGUCAGGAAAACAUGAGGCAAACCCACAAAGAGAAGAAGAACAUAAGUCAGGGCUUAAUACAUGUAAUGAUCACGAAGGCCUGUUCUACAGAAGGAGCCAUGAUGGUAGAAUCCUAAGACGGAGAAGAGGAAACAUCCUCCUCAUGUGUACAGGUGCACACCUGUGGUGAUAUAGGAGAAAGGUACGAGCUGUUGACAGGGGGGAGGAGAGGCAGAGACGCUGAUCCACAGCCCCCCCACAGAGGGAGGGAACAGCAGUUUGCAGCCAAAACCCCCUGAGCAUGCUGGGACGUCCAGAACCGCAGAGCCCUGAUGGGAGGAAAUCAAAAGAAAGAAACAUUAAGGCUUGUUUCAGUACCAGUAGCAGAACAGGGACUCCGUCAGGCUGGACUGAGCCGCGUGCAGUUUCUCCUCUGUCCAGCAGGGGGAGGUCGCCAGCCCCAGU